rnacentral:rRNA from 1 species
GUAACACGUAGUCAACCUGCCCUGGAGACAUGGAAAACCCCGGGAAACUGGGAUUAAUCCGUGAUAGGUCACCUCAUCUGGAAGGAGAGAUGGCUUAAAGGGGUGCGAGAGCUUCUUUCUUGCAUUCGCUUCAGGAUGGGACUGCGGCCGAUCAGGCUGUUGGCGGUGUAAUGGACCACCAAACCUGUAACCGGUACGGGCCUUGAGAGAGGGGGCCCGGAGAUGGACACUGAGAGAAGGGUCCAGGUCCUACGGGGCGCAGCAGGCGCGAAACCUUCGCAAUGCGCGAAAGCGUGACGAGGUUAAUCCGAGUGGUCCCCGCUGAGGGGAUCUUUUGUUGGCUGUAAAAAGGCCGAUGAAUAAGGGGAGGGCAAGUCUGGUGUCAGCCGCCGCGGUAAUACCAGCUCCUCGAGUGGUCGGGGCGAUUAUUGGGCCUAAAGCAUCCGUAGCCGGUUCUGUAGGUCCUCUGUCAAAUCCAACGGCUUAACCGUUGGCCCGCAGAGGAUACCGCAGGACU